rnacentral:misc_RNA from 1 species
AUAACAGCAGCUCCAAAACUCCUAGCAGGGUUGAUGCCAGUGCCAGUAAUUGGAAUAGUGGCAAGGUGAACCAUGAACACAGCAAAUCCAAUUGGAAGUGGAGCCAAGACCUACAUAUAAAUCCAAAAAUACACAAAAAUUGUUUAAACUAAACUGAUAUUUUACCAGUUAAUAAACAAGAGGGAUUAUGAUUUAAGUAAGAUAGAGCAAGAACAUACAGGAACAUGGGAGUCUCUGGCAUUCCUUUUGGGAUCAGUAGCAGAGAAAACAGUGUAGACAAGAACAAAAGUACCGAUGAUCUCAGCUCCCAAUCCAGUGCCUUUACUGUAACCAUCAGCGAGCUCAUUGGCUCCACCACCAUACCUAUUAUAAUAAGCCUUUUGGAAUGCCUUGACCAGCCCACAUCCACAUAUGGCCCCCAGGCACUGUGCUGCCAUGUACAAUACAGCUCGCACCAGAGACACUUUCCUCGCCAAAAACAGACCCAAAGUCACAGCAGGGUUUAUAUGCCCACCUGAGAUACCAGCAGUGCAG